rnacentral:lncRNA from 1 species
GAGCUGAGAUGUACUAAGAGGGAUCCAAUAUGAAACUAUGUCAUUUUAUGAGAUAACUGAAAAUUUUUUUUCAUUAGUAUUGAAUCCUCGAUCCGAUCGAAGUAUCUUUAAAAUUUUUUUGAUUUGCUUCUUUACUUUACAUCUAAAUUAUUUGAACCUUUCAAAAAUAUCAAAUUUGUAUCUCAUAUACUUAUCCAUAUUAUGACUGAUCAUCGAUAAAGGUAACAAAAUAGAGACAACUCCUUUCAGUAGCAUGUCACAUAGGCUACACACAUCA